CCUACGGGCGGCAGCAGUGGGGAAUAUUGGACAAUGGGCGAAAGCCUGAUCCAGCCAUGCCGCGUGUGUGAAGAAGGCCUUCGGGUUGUAAAGCACUUUCAGUGGGGAAGAAAGCCUUGGGGCUAAUACCCUCGAGGAAGGACAUCACCCACAGAAGAAGCACCGGCUAACUCCGUGCCAGCAGCCGCGGUAAUACGGAGGGUGCGAGCGUUAAUCGGAAUUACUGGGCGUAAAGCGCGCGUAGGCGGUCUGAUAAGCCGGUUGUGAAAGCCCCGGGCUCAACCUGGGAACGGCAUCCGGAACUGUCAGGCUAGAGUGCAGGAGAGGAAGGUAGAAUUCCCGGUGUAGCGGUGAAAUGCGUAGAGAUCGGGAGGAAUACCAGUGGCGAAGGCGGCCUUCUGGACUGACACUGACGCUGAGGUGCGAAAGCGUGGGUAGCAAACAGGAUUAGAUACUCGGGUAGUC
rnacentral:rRNA from 1 species